GUACUCUUGGUGUAGUGGUAACACGCCCCUUAUUACACUGUUGAGGGGAUCCUGGGUUCGAUUCCCGGAGGGUGCC